UGGUGGGGUGACUUGUCUGCUUAAUUGCGAUAACGAACGAGACCUUAACCUGCUAAAUAGCCCGCAUUGCUCCGGCAGUGCGAUGGCUUCUUAGAGGGACUUUCGGCUCAAGCCGAAGGAAGUUUGAGGCAAUAACA
rnacentral:rRNA from 1 species